rnacentral:rRNA from 1 species
UGGGGAAUCUUCGGCAAUGGGCGCAAGCCUGACCGAGCCAUGCCGCGUGAGCGAUGAAGGCCUUAGGGUUGUAAAGCUCUUUCGCCAGGGAUGAUAAUGACAGUACCUGGUAAAGAAACCCCGGCUAACUCCGUGCCAGCAGCCGCGGUAAUACGGAGGGGGUUAGCGUUGUUCGGAAUUACUGGGCGUAAAGCGCGCGUAGGCGGAUUGGAAAGUUGGGGGUGAAAUCCCGGGGCUCAACCCCGGAACUGCCUCCAAAACUGCCAGUCUUGAGUUCGAGAGAGGUGAGUGGAAUUCCGAGUGUAGAGGUGAAAUUCGUAGAUAUUCGGAGGAACACCAGUGGCGAAGGCGGCUCACUGGCUCGAUACUGACGCUGAGGUGCGAAAGCGUGGGGAGCAAACAGGAUUAGAUACCCCCGUAGUCC